rnacentral:rRNA from 1 species
AUGAGGACGCCAUUGACACUGACGACAACUACACCAUGGAAGGUGUUCAUGGAAACUGAGGGCAUGUUCCUGACCACUCCAGCAGCAUCAGAAAGCUCAAUCUCCCAAUCACUGCAGUGGUUUGAGGAUCGAGGAUUUCACACACCCAUGCUUACCAAGUGUUUGACUAUCGGUACCUACUCGCUCCUGCUCUUACUUCCUCCUGUUGCAUUGGACACCAUUGAUACAGAAAUGACUGAGCAGCGGGACAUAUAUGAGGAUAGUGGAAAGUUUGUUCAAAAGGUGGACAACUCCUUCGUUCAACAUGCCAUCACAGUUUUAUAUGCGGCUGCCACCUGA